rnacentral:rRNA from 1 species
GAUGAACGCUAGCGGGAGGCUUAAUACAUGCAAGUCGAACGGCAACAUGAUGAUAGCAAUAUUAUUGAUGGCGAGUGGCGCACGGGUGAGUAACACGUACAUAACCUGCCCUUUACUGAGGGAUAGCCUUGGGAAACUGGGAGUAACCCCUCAUAGUGUACAUUGGACGCAUGUCUGAUGUAAUAAAUUCUUCGGGAGGUAAAGGAUGGAUGUGCGGCUGAUUAGCUAGUUGGUAGGGUAACGGCCUACCAAGGCGAUGAUCGGUAGCUGGUCUGAGAGGACGAUCAGCCACACGGGAACUGAGACACGGUCCCGACUCCUACGGGGGGCAGCAGUGAGGAAUAUUGGACAAUGGGCGCAAGCCUGAUCCAGCAACGCCGCGUGGAGGAUGAAGG